rnacentral:rRNA from 1 species
GUACCUACGGGGGGCAGCAGUAGGGAAUCUUCCACAAUGGACGAAAGUCUGAUGGAGCAACGCCGCGUGAGUGAAGAAGGGUUUCGGCUCGUAAAGCUCUGUUGGUAGUGAAGAAAGAUAGAGGUAGUAACUGGCCUUUAUUUGACGGUAAUUACUUAGAAAGUCACGGCUAACUACGUGCCAGCAGCCGCGGGAAUACGUAGGUGGCAAGCGUUGUCCGGAUUUAUUGGGCGUAAAGCGAGGGCAGGUGGUUCAAUAAGUCUGAUGUGAAAGCCUUCGGUUCAACCGGAGAAUUGCAUCAGAAA